rnacentral:rRNA from 1 species
GACGAACGCUGGCGGCGUGCCUAACACAUGCAAGUCGAACGGAGAUAUGCGAACGAGGCCUUCGGGCGGAGAUUGCAUAUUUUAGUGGCGGACGGGCGAGUAACGCGUGAGCAACCUGCCCUUCAGAGGGGGAUAACGGCUGGAAACGGCCGCUAAUACCGCAUGACAUAUACACAAGGCAUCUUGAGUAUAUCAAAGGAGGAAUCCGCUGAAGGAUGGGCUCGCGUCCGAUUAGCUGGUUGGUGAGGUAACGGCUCACCAAGGCGACGAUCGGUAGCCGAACUGAGAGGUUGAUCGGCCGCAUUGGGACUGAGACACGGCCCAGACUCCUACGGGAGGCAGCAGUGGGGGAUAUUGCACAAUGGAGGAAACUCUGAUGCAGCGACGCCGCGUGGGGGAAGAAGGUCUUCGGAUUGUAAACCUCAGUAGUCAGGGAAGAAGCAAGUGACGGUACCUGAAGAGUAAGCUCCGGCUAACUACGUGCCAGCAGCCGCGGUAAUACGUAGGGAGCGAGCGU